rnacentral:rRNA from 1 species
GACGAACGCUGGCGGCGCGCUUAACACGUGCAAGUCGAACGGAAAGGCCCUGCUUUUGUGGGGUGCUCGAGUGGCGAACGGGUGAGUAACACGUGAGUAACCUGCCCUUGACUUUGGGAUAACUUCAGGAAACUGGGGCUAAUACCGGAUAGGAGCUCCUGCUGCAUGGUGGGGGUUGGAAAGUUUCGGCGGUUGGGGAUGGACUCGCGGCUUAUCAGCUUGUUGGUGGGGUAGUGGCUUACCAAGGCUUUGACGGGUAGCCGGCCUGAGAGGGUGACCGGCCACAUUGGGACUGAGAUACGGCCCAGACUCCUACGGGAGGCAGCAGUGGGGAAUAUUGCACAAUGGGCGGAAGCCUGAUGCAGCAACGCCGCGUGCGGGAUGACGGCCUUCGGGUUGUAAACCGCUUUCGCCUGUGACGAAGCGUGAGUGACGGUAAUGGGUAAAGAAGCACCGGCUAACUACGUG